CCGGCCCCCCUGGGGGCCUGAGUUGUAAUUUGCAGAGGAUGCUUCGGGCGCGACCGCGGUCCAAGUCCCCUGGAACGGGGCGUCGUAGAGGGUGAGAAUCCCGUCUCCGGCCGGCCGGUCUCGCCCGUGUGAAGCUCCUUCGACGAGUCGAGUUGUUUGGGAAUGCAGCUCCAAAUGGGUGGUAAAUUUCAUCUAAAGCUAAAUACUGGUCGGAGACCGAUAGCGCACAAGUAGAGUGAUCGAAAGAUGAAAAGCACUUUGAAAAGAGAGUUAAACAGCAUGUGAAAUUGUUGAAAGGGAAGCGCUUGCGACCAGAGUCGGCCGCGGGGGUUCAGCGGGCAUUCGUUGCCCGUGCAAUCCCCCGCGGCCGGGCCAGCGUCGGUUUCGACGGCCGGUCAAAGGCCCCCGGAAUGUGUCGCCUCUCGGGGCGUCUUAUAGCCGGGGGUGCAAUGCGGCCAGUCGGGACCGAGGAACGCGCUCCGGCACGGACGCUGGCUUAAUGG
rnacentral:rRNA from 1 species